UAUCACUUUUUCUAAAAGUUCGACUGGACAAAAGCCACCACAAUUGAUGUACUGAUAUCCGACACAGCAUUUGUGUCGAUUUUUCAUGUAAAGGUAAUUUUGAUGUCUAAGAUUAAAGGUAACGUUAAGUGGUUUAAUGAAUCCAAAGGAUUCGGUUUCAUUACUCCGGAAGAUGGCAGCAAAGACGUGUUCGUACACUUCUCUGCGAUCCAGAGCAAUGGUUUCAAAACUCUGGCUGAAGGUCAGCGUGUAGAGUUCGAAAUCACUAACGGUGCCAAAGGCCCUUCUGCUGCUAACGUAAUCGCUCUGUAAUUACAUACAGCAAGAAUUUCAAAACCCGCUGAUUCAGCGGGUUUUUUU
rnacentral:other from 1 species